UACGGGGGGGGGCAAGCGUUGUUCGGAUUUACUGGGCGUAAAGGGCGCGUAGGCGGCCACCGCAAGUCGAUUGUGAAAUCUCCGGGCUUAACCCGGAAAGGUCAACCGAUACUGCGGGGCUAGAGUGCAGAAGGGGGCAACUGGAAUUCUCGGUGUAGCGGUGAAAUGCGUAGAUAUCGAGAGGAACACCUGCGGCGAAGGCGGGUUGCUGGGCUGACACUGACGCUGAAGUGCGAAAGCUAGGGGGAGCGAACGGG
rnacentral:rRNA from 1 species